UUUCCGUAGGUGAACCUGCGGAAGGAUCGUUAAAAAAUGUGGUACCAAUUGUUGGUACUAAUUAAUCAUCCUACCCUUUGUGAAUUUGUUUGUAAUGAAUUUUUUUAAAUGGGUCUUUCCCUAAGUUGGAUUGUAGUAAAAUACAAAAAGACUUAGGGGAAUGACUUUUUUAAAAGACUUUUUUUUAAUUAAAACUUUUUGUAUUCAUUUGUCUAAAAUUUAUUUUUAUAAUAUAAAAACAACUUUUGACAAUGGAUCUCUUGGUUCUCGCAACGAUGAAGAACGCAGCAAAAUGCGAUAAGUAGUGUGAAUUGCAGAAUACGUGAAUCAUCGAAUCUUCGAACCCAUAUUGCACUUUUUUAGUUUACUAAAAAAGUAUGUCUGUUUGAGUAUCAGUAAAAUAUUCUCACAAACAUGUAUUGUUUGUGGUUAUGAGUGUUUUACAACGAUAAACAAGUUGUUUCACUUUAAAUUCUUUUUAAUUGAAUUUUUACCAAUUUACAAAUUUAAAAUUGGAUAAAAUUUUCCUUUAACGAGGAAUAACCUAAACAAUUUUAAAUUUUUUGGUUCGUAAAUCCCAUGAAGGAAUCUAUACAUAAAUAACUUGAUCUCAAAUCGGAUAAGAGUACCCGCUGAACUUAAGCAUAUCAAUAAGCGGAGGAAAAGAAACUAACAAGGAUUCCCUUAGUAACGGCGAGUGAAGCGGGAAGAGCUCAAAUUUGAAAUCUUCAAGGUUUGACCUUGACGAAUUGUAGUUUAUAGAAGUGUUUUCUGUUGGAGUUUUGGUAAAAGUUCUUUGGAAUAGGACAUCAUAGAGGGUGAGAAUCCCGUAUUUGACCAUGACUUUCCAGCUGUGUGAUACACUUUCAAAGAGUCGGAUUGUUUGGGAAUGCAGUCCAAAAUGGGUGGUAAAUUUCAUCUAAAGCUAAACAUUGGCGAGAGACCGAUAGCGAACAAGUACCGUGAGGGAAAGAUGAAAAGAACUUUGAAAAGAGAGUUAAACAGUACGUGAAAUUGUCAAAAGGGAAGCGUUUGACACCAGUGUUGUUUUCUCGAAAAUCAAUUUAAUGAGUUCUUGUUUUUAAGUUAUUGUGACUUUAUCAGCGCAUUUCUUAUUUUACUUGACUCAUUGAAUGCACUUUUCGUUUGACAAGUCAACAUCAAUUUCUUUGGUGGUAAAAAGUUUAAAGGAAGGUGGCUUGGACUUCGGUUCAAGUGUUUAUAGCCUUUUUUCUAUGCCAUCGGAGAGAUUGAGGUCUGCAGCGUAGAUCCUUCGGGUUAGAUACCUUUGUGCUAAGUUAUAGUUUUUAUAGACAACUUGUUGACUAUAAUUAACCCUGUAAUUUACUCGCUUAGGCUAUUUUACCUACGCUUAGGAUGUUGAG
rnacentral:misc_RNA from 1 species